UGGGGUAUAGCUCAGCAGUAGAGUGCACGCUUACCAUGCAGGAGGUCCUGGGUUCAAUCCCCAGUACUUCCA
rfam:Camelus ferus unplaced genomic scaffold scaffold1310, whole genome shotgun sequence.